rnacentral:rRNA from 1 species
AACGAACGCUGGCGGCGUGCCUAACACAUGCAAGGUCGAACGCGAAAAAGCAGUAAUGCUGAGUAGAGUGGCGCACGGGUGCAUAACACGUAACUGACCUGUCAUUGAGAUUGGGAUAACCGCUCGAAAGGGCGGCUAAUACUGAAUAAGCCCACGUCCUUGGGGAUGAGGGAAAAGGUCUGGGACCCUACGGGGCCAGGCGCUUGAUGAGGGGGGUUGCGGCCCAUCAGCUAGUUGGUGAGGUAACGGCUCACCAAGGCUAAGACGGGUAGCUGGUCUGAGAGGAUGAUCAGCCACACUGGAACUGAGACACGGUCCAGACUCCUACGGGAGGCAGCAGUGGGGAAUCUUGCGCAAUGGGAGCAAUCCUGACGCAGCAACGCCGCGUGGGUGAUGAAGGUCUUCGGAUCGUAAAGCCCUGUCGAAGGGGAAGAUGCUUGGAACGUCUAAUAGAUGAGCCAGGUGACGGUACCCUUAAAGGAAGCACCGGCUAACUCUGUG